GAUGAGAACAUGGUCAAAGGGGAUGAGGAACAUGGUCAAAGGGAUGAGGAACAUGGUUAAAGGGACAAGGACAAUAUGGUCAAAGGGGAUGAGGAACAUGUGGUCAAAUAGGGUGGGGAACAUGGUCAAAGGGGAUGAGGAACAUGGUCAAAGGGUAUGAGGAACAUAUGGUCAAAGGGAUGAGGAACAUGUGGUCAAAGGGGAUGAGGAACAUGGUCAAAGGGAUGGGAACAUGGUUAAAGGGACAAGGACAAUAUGGUCAAAGGGGAUGAGGAACAUGUGGUCAAAUAGGGUGAGGAACAUGGUCAAAGGGGAUGAGGAACAUGGUCAAAGGGGAUGAGGAACAUGGUCAAAGGGGAUGAGGAACAUGUGGUCAAAUAGGGUGAGGGGCAUGCCAAGGGGAUGAGGAACAUAUGAGGGGAUGAGGAACAUAUGGUCAAAGGGGAUGAGGAACAUGGUCAAAGGGGAUGAGGAACAUGUGGUCAAAUAGGGUGAGGAACAUAUGGUCAAAGGAGAUGAGGGACAGAUGGUUAAAUGUAAUGAGGAAAAGGUGGUUAAAGCAACAUAGAACAGAUGGUUAAAUGCAAUUAGGAACUGUUCAACAUGAUGUCAAAGGGGAUGAGGAACUUAUGUUUCAGGGGAUUAAUGCAGGUAAAGAAAAUAGUACUGAAAACAGCUUGUUGAAAGGGGUUGGUGCCAAAAGAAGUUUUGACUUCAAGUGUACUGACUGGAUGGAUGAAAGGAGUUAGGGUUGCUGAUGGCAUCAAGUGUCUUGGGUUGGGACCUGGUGGUUGAACCUAAGUGAAACAGGUGGUUGGUGGGGAUUAAAAGGAUAAGGAGCAGGGAUGAAGGGAGUUUAAAACAGGUGGUUGGUUAGGGAUUAAAGGGAUAAGGAACAGGGUUCAGUAGCAGGGUUUGGAGUGAGUUUAAUACAGGCGGUUGGUUAGGAUUAAAGGGAUAAGGAGCAGCGGUUCAGUAGCAGAGUUUGGAGUGACUUUAAUACAGGGGGUUGAAGGGAAUGAUUAGAGAAAUGUAGUUGGGACCCAGCAGAGACUUGCCUCAUAUUACAAAUAACUUUGUUUUUAUCACUUCUAGUAUGUUUAUUUUUGUUCGUGGCUAAUCAUACUUAUGAAAUAAAUAUGUUGAAUGUGGGAAA